rfam:Rattus norvegicus chromosome 20, whole genome shotgun sequence.
GGGGAUUUAGCUCAGUGGUAGAGCGCUUGCCUAGCAAGCGCAAGGCCCUGGGUUCGAUCCCCAGCUCCU